UACACUCCUGCGGGAGGCAGCAGUGGGGAAUUUUGGACAAUGGGCGAAAGCCUGAUCCAGCAAUGCCGCGUGAGUGAAGAAGGCCUUCGGGUUGUAAAGCUCUUUUGUCAGGGAAGAAACGGUGAAAGCUAAUAUCUUUUGCUAAUGACGGUACCUGAAGAAUAAGCACCGGCUAACUACGUGCCAGCAGCCGCGGUAAUACGUAGGGUGCAAGCGUUAAUCGGAAUUACUGGGCGUAAAGCGUGCGCAGGCGGUUUUGUAAGUCUGAUGUGAAAUCCCCGGGCUCAACCUGGAAAUUGCAUUGGAGACUGCAAGGCUAGAAUCUGGCAGAGGGGGGUAGAAUUCCACGUGUAGCAGUGAAAUGCGUAGAUAUGUGGAGGAACACCGAUGGCGAAGGCAGCCCCCUGGGUCAAGAUUGACGCUCAUGCACGAAAGCGUGGGGAGCAAACAGGAUUAGAAACCCCAGUAGUCCCA
rnacentral:rRNA from 1 species